ACACACACACACACACACACACACACACACACACACACACACACACACACACACACACACACACACACACACACACACACAGAGUCAUAUCAUAUUGUUGUAAUGUCGGCUGUUUACAGAUGUGUACAGGUGUGUGUAGUUGUGUGUAGGUGUGUGUAGUUGUGUGUAGUUGUGUGUAGGUGUGUGUAGUUGAGUGUAGGUGUGUGUAGGUGUGUGUAGUUGUGUGUAGUUGUGUGUAGUUGUGUGUAGUUGUGUGUAGUUGAGUGUAGGUGUAUUUACAGGUGUGUGUAGUUUUGUGUAGGUGUGUCCAGGUGUGUUUACAGGUGUGUGUAGUUGUGUGUAGGUGUGUCCAGGUGUGUUUACAGGUGUGUGUAGGUGUGUGUAGUUGUGUGUAGGUGUGUGUAGUUGUGUGUAGGUGUGUGUAGGUGUAUGUAGUUGUGUGUAGUUGUGUGUAGUUGUGUGUAGUUGUGUGUAGGUGUGUGUCCAGGUGUGUGUAGUUGUGUGUAGGUGUGUGUAGUUGUGUGUAGUUGUGUGUAGUUGUGUGUAGGUGUGUGUAGUUGUGUGUAGGUGUGUUUACAGGUGUGUGUAGUUGUGUGUCCAGGUGUGUGUAGUUGUGUGUAGUUGUGUGUAGUUGUGUGUAGUUGUGUGUAGUUGUGUGUAGGUGUGUCCAGGUGUGUUUACAGGUGUGUGUAGGUGUGUGUAGUUGUGUGUCCAGG